UAUUAUUUUAAAUGUAAAGAGUUAAACUGGGGUAAUAGUAGUUAUUUUCUUGAAACUCAAAGAAUUUGGCGGUAUUUUAGUCUUUUCAGAGGAACUUGCUUCUUUAUCGAUAUUCCACGUUUUAUCUAGCUUAAUUUUGUUUUCAGCCUGUAUACCGCCGUUAUUAGAAUGUUUUUUUAGGAUUUAAAUUUUCGGGGUGUUUAAUUAGACAUGAUUUCAGGUCAAGGUGCAGUUUAUAAUUAAGUGAAAGUGGGUUACAAUAAAUAUAUAUUUAUACGGAAGAUUCUUGUGAAAUGGGGUUUUAAGGUGGAUUUGAUAGUAAUGUGAUAUAUAAAAUUGAUUUGAUUUUGGCUCUAAAAUAUGUACACAUCGCCCGUCGCUCUCAUUUAAGUUGAG
rnacentral:rRNA from 1 species